GAACGCGAAGAACCUUACCCGGGAUUGAAAUGUAGAUGACCGCCGGUGAAAGUCGGCUUUCCUUCGGGACAUCUAUGUAGGUGCUGCAUGGUUGUCGUCAGCUCGUGCCGUGAGGUGUCGGCUUAAGUGCCAUAACGAGCGCAACCCCUGUCUACGGUUGCCAUCAGGUAAUGCUGGGAGCUCCGUAGAGACUGCCGUCGUAAGGCGUGAGGAAGGUGGGGAUGACGUCAAAUCAGCACGGCCCUUACAUCCGGGGCGACACACGUGUUACAAUGGUAAGGACAAAGGGCAGCCACCUGGCGACAGGAUGCGAAUCUCUAAACCUUAUCACAGUUCGGAUCGGAGUCUGCAACUCGACUCCGUGAAGCUGGAUUCGCUAGUAAUCGCGCAUCAGCCAUGGCGCGGUGAAUACGUUCCCGGGUCUUGUACACACC
rnacentral:rRNA from 1 species